rnacentral:rRNA from 1 species
CGACGACCUUCGGGUUAUUGGCCCACGGGUGAAUAACGCGUGAGAAUCUGCCCUCAGGAGGGGGAUAACGGCUGGAAACGGCCGCUAAUACCCCAUAUGCCGAGAGGUGAAAUGAAUUUCGCCUGAAGAGGAGCUCGCCUCCGAUUAGCUAGUUGGUGGGGGAGAGGCUCACCAAGGCAUCUUUUGGUGACUGGUCGGAUCGGAAGAUCAACCACCCUGGGAGGGACAGACAGCCCAAACUCCCUACCGUGGGGAGGAGAGGGGAAUUUUCCUCAUUGGGGGGAAGCCUGUCGGAACAAUCCCCCCUGGGGGAAGAAGGCCUCUCGGCUGUAACCCUCUUUUUUUCAAGGGAGAAAAUCUGACGGUACUUG